rnacentral:rRNA from 1 species
AGUGAACGCUGGCGGCAGGCCUAAUACAUGCAAGUCGAACGGCAGCACAGCAGAGCUUGCUCUGUGGGUGGCGAGUGGCGGACGGGUGAGGAAUACAUGGGAAUCUGCCCAGUCGUGGGGGAUAACGUAGGGAAACUUACGCUAAUACCGCAUGCGCCCUUCGGGGGAAAGCCGGGGACCUUCGGGCCUGGCGCGAUUGGAUGAGCCCAUGUCGGAUUAGCUAGUUGGCGGGGUAAUGGCCCACCAAGGCGACGAUCCGUAGCUGGUCUGAGAGGAUGAUCAGCCACACUGGAACUGAGACACGGUCCAGACUCCUACGGGAGGCAGCAGUAGGGAAUAUUGGACAAUGGGCGCAAGCCUGAUCCAGCCAUGCCGCGUGAGUGAAGAAGGCCCUCGGGUUGUAAAGCUCUUUUGUCCGGAAAGAAAGCGCCGGGUUAAUACCCUGGUGUCCUGACGGUACCGGAAGAAUAAGCACCGGCUAACUUCGUGCCAGC